rnacentral:rRNA from 1 species
UACGUAGGAGGCGAGCGUUGUCCGGAAUUACUGGGCGUAAAGCGUGCGCAGGCGGUUUGCUAAGACAGGUGUGAAAUCCCCGGGCUUAACCUGGGAACUGCGCUUGUUACUGGCAAGCUUGAGUGUGGCAGAGGGGGGGUGGAAUUCCACGUGUAGCAGUGAAAUGCGUAGAGAUGUGGAGGAACACCGAUGGCGAAGGCAGCCCCCUGGGCUAACACUGACGCUCAUGCACGAAAGCGUGGGGAGCAAACAGG